rnacentral:piRNA from 1 species
GAUCGUAGGCUCGAAUGUGGUACCGGUGC